AAUUAGGAUCAUUUCCUUGUCUAGAUGCACGAACCCUCCAAAGACAUAUAUCCACCAAGCACUCGUAAGAUACUGUAGUCUUAAUAGAAGUUGGUACAUCAAAAUCAAAUCCAUCCCUUAUCGCAAGAAGUUUGAGUCGAUACUCCAACUUGAAUUUGCUACGGUAUUGUUGGCCUACCGCGAGUGUUAGCGUAGACCACCAUCUUCAAAAGACUAUCGUAAACUGCUCUUUCCGCUUAUAGCUGCACAACUCUACACCCUCUUUCGUCGGGGUUAAAUACGAAUCUCUGUUUCUUUACCCACGAACCGGAAACAACUAUGACCGUAACGGGACCAGCCAUAUCAAGAGAAAGAUGAAAGAAAUUGAAGAUGUAUGAGAAGAUGAAUGAAGAAAAGAAAGUUCCGGUGAUGUUGUAACGUUCAGGCGGUGAACAUAGUCUGGGAAAACGAGUUAAAGAAGCAAGGGACGUUUCGUAUUUCCGUCGAGGAUGCUGACAUGGAAUGAUGACAUGGAUUAUUACAGCCGACGUCGUUUUGAAGUGAUGACGUGGCAAGUCAGCCACCAAACGAACAGUUCAUAACACAGCCAUGAAGCAAAUCUUUAAGUCAGCCGCAACAUGAAUACUAUUACAGUAAUUAAAACAGGAAAAAAAACAAAGUUAAUUCAGCCGUGGUAUGUCGUAACUCAACUAACUCAACCGUAACGUUCAACAACUCGGCCAUAACUGCAUGAUAUUAUAGUAAUUAAUCUUUUGAAAAUAAGUCAGCCAUAACAUGGCUGAGUUAUAUCGUAAUCCAACUAUUAGCGGCUGAUUUAUAACACUCGACCAUAACUCAGCCGUCAUAUCGUUCCAUAACUAAGCUGUUCAAAACUAUAACUCGGCCGUCUCGAGGAAAUAAGUCAGCCUUUUUCUCAUAACUCAGCCAUAGUGUUGGUUGGGUUAUCGUAUAACUUCUUAUAACUCGGCCGACCAUCCUUAACUCAACCAUACCGUUGCCUGAGUUAUACUAUAACUCAGACAAUAUUUUACAACUCAGCCGUAACGUCUGGCUGAGUUAUACUCAUACUUCGCCGUUUUGUUAUGACUCAUAUAUUUUUGUCGUAAGUCAGCCGCAACAUACCGUAACUCAGCCGUAACUGUCGUUGUAUCGCGUUACGGCUGAGUUCAUUUAAUCAACGUCAGCAAAUUCUGACGUGGCAGUGGAAUUCCUUGAAAUUACGUUUUUUCCGGUAACGUUUAGUAGGGGCACGCUGGGUAAUAAAAAAAAUCGAAAAUACAACAGUAAUUAAAAAAAGUUCUGUCGUGUUCUCUUAAUAACACCUAAUUUCUUACCUAUCACAGUUAAUCUCCCUUUAGAAAAAAAAAAAUUGUUCUUAAAAAAGAAAAAAGUAUAAAACCAAAUCUAAACACAAAACCUACCUAGUGAGAGUUCUAACAUCCACGAUUAUCGAGUUAAUACUAGUUGUCAAGUGUAAUAUAUGGACAUUGGCAUCAAGUGUCAAACUACGAAGGAUUCGAUUCGAGAUAGAA
rnacentral:sRNA from 1 species